ACAGGAUUGUGAAUAUGGAGAUAGAAAUUAUCACAUCUGAGAUAGAAGUCAAAUUUAAACAGCUUAAUGGGACCAAAUCAGGGAGCCCAGACAAUCUUCAUCCAAGAAUAUU